rnacentral:rRNA from 1 species
GAUGAACGCUGGCGUCGUGCUUAACACAUGCAAGUCGAACGAAGCACUUUAUUUGAUUUCCUUCGGGACUGAUUAUUUUGUGACUGAGUGGCGGACGGGUGAGUAACGCGUGGGUAACCUGCCUUGUACAGGGGGAUAACAGUUGGAAACGGCUGCUAAUACCGCAUAAGCGCACGGCAUCGCAUGAUGCAGUGUGAAAAACUCCGGUGGUAUAAGAUGGACCCGCGUUGGAUUAGCUAGUUGGUGAGGUAACGGCCCACCAAGGCGACGAUCCAUAGCCGACCUGAGAGGGUGACCGGCCACAUUGGGACUGAGACACGGCCCAAACUCCUACGGGAGGCAGCAGUGGGGAAUAUUGCACAAUGGGCGAAAGCCUGAUGCAGCGACGCCGCGUGAGCGAAGAAGUAUUUCGGUAUGUAAAGCUCUAUCAGCAGGGAAGAUAAUGACGGUACCUGACUAAGAAGCACCGGCUAAAUACGUG